UAUUUUGGAAGAACAGCUGGCCUCUCAUCCACUGUCAGAACGAAAAUGUGAAAGCAGACCAAAAUGACAGAGACAUCAGAGUAUGCAAUUUGUAAGUUUAUUAAUUAUGGAUUGGUGUUUCCCUGUAAGUUUCCUAUGAAUUUCAUGUGUAGUGUGUGUAGAAAUCUGUGCCAUCUCAACAGUGAAUUCUGUUGAUCCACAUCAUAUAACUAUUUGGCUCAAUCAAACCAUCGAUUGGUAUAUCUUACAAUGCUAUAUCCUCUUGCUACGAUGUGCUCUCUAAAAGACCUUCCUCAUUAAAGCUCAUUCAAAGGAAGCAUUCUGUCAGGCACCAAUAAGCCUUAUUUGCCUAGACCAGCUGCAGCUGGGACCCACUCCACCUGUCCCUCCACCCUCUGGGAGUUUCUUGCAGAAGCUCUGUUUAAACUGCGGCCUCCUGCCUCCGCUGCUCUACUUGCCCAGCUCUGGUGUUACAGACUGAGUCCUGUUGGUGAGGUGGUUGCCCAGCCUGCACUGUGGCCACACUCAGCUCACCUUCCUUCUUGAAGCUGCCCUGUUCUUGCUCUUCUACCAGCAGCACCACCAGCAAGCAAAACAGUGAUUCAGUGCCAUUAGAGUUUCCCAGAUGCAGUCUGUGCCAGAGACUACACAGACACUGCCAUUAAGGCUCCCUGAGAGACUGCUCGGAGCAGCAGAAAAUGUGCUACAUUUUCCGGAUGUCCUCAUAAGGCUGAAUGUGAAAUGAGACUUAUUGUUUGAAAGCAAAGCAUGCAUAUAAUGAGCCAAUAAUAUUAGAUAUCAGAUGUGAUACUAUUUCAAAACAUAUAUCACGUGCUUUUACCCACUUCUGCAUUUAAUACUAUAGAACAUUUGUUCUGCUACUCCCUUCCUUUGAGUUGGAUCACAGGUUUGUUAUUAAAUGGAAACAAACAGUGCUUUUUAGUCUGCAUCAUUUAGAAGACUCCUUCCUGAGAAGUUCUCACUUUCAUUUUCAUUUCAACAACUAUAUCCUUAUGGUCUACAGUGUAUAAUAGAAAUUAAAUUCUGUGCUACCUAGAACAUACAUUUUUCCUUCCACUAUUUUUUUGGAUCACAUGGGUAAUUUUGUUCUUGUGGGGAUGCUGAUGCAGACUUUGAGUCAAACUUGCAUUAAAAAGUCCCAGCCUUUCUGAAA